rnacentral:lncRNA from 1 species
CAGAUAAUUCUCAGCUAUGUGACCCUGGGCAAGUCACUAACCCCCACUGCCAAGCCCUUACCACUCUUCUGCAUUAGAACCAAUACACAGUAUUGAUACUAAGACAGAAGCUAAGGGUUUAAAAAAAUAAAAAGAGAAAAAGUAAAAUUUUAUAUAAAUAUGAAUAGCACUGAUGAAAAAAAUUUCAAGGAAUUUUUUGAUAUGAUCAACUCAGGAUCCCAAACCACCCUCAUGUUUCCAUACAGCCCCACUCCCAACAGCUAUUAUGAAUUAUUGCUGAUAUCAUAAAGCAUUUUUUCUCUAGCUCUAUGACAGCAGCAGUAGGCAGAGAGUUGAAGGAAGAUCAGUCCUGAUCAGAGGACAGUGAAAAAGAAGUAUAUUGGGGAUUUUUUGGUUUUUCAAAUAUUUGGACUUUACCUUGGGUGUUGAGAUUGUGGUAAGCUUUCCAGAUUCCAUUCUGGAAUUUUUGGAAGUUAUGAUAGAAAUUGCUGAAUCCAAACUAUCAAGAACAAUAUCUUCAAUUCACAGAUGAGGAAACUAAAAACCCAGGAGAUAGAUCAUUGAUGUGCGAUGUAACAGAUAAUAGUCAUGAGUGCACUGUGACAAUUAUGGAAAAAGAUUUGACCAUCUCCCCAAAUAAGAAGAAAAAUGAGUGGGAUUGUGAGGGAUGUAGUGACAACAAGAUGGAUGAAAUCAUUCUUGAGGAGGAAAUGGAACCUCCAAGAUGGGUUCAUAUUUCUGAGGAGACAAGCCCAGCACAUGUACAAGAAGACAUCAAUGUUCCGACUAAUUGGCCUUCUGUGACAUCAGAUAUGGAAAAAGCAUGCAUAUUUUCCCUAACUAAAGAGAAUGAUGUUGGAGUCCCCCAGGCAUAUAGUAACACUAGGAUGGAUGAAAUCAUUCUCAAGGAGGACAUGGAACCUCAAAGAUGGGCUCACAUCUCUGAGCAGACAAGCCCAGCAGAUGUACAUGAAGACAUCAGUGAUUCAACUAAUUAUGAUGGUACCUACAUUGGGAAAGUCCCCACAAAAUUUGAAGAGGACUACCAGGAGAAAAAAGUUUCCCUCCUAAAGGGUGCAGCUGGUGAUGGGGAUGAUUUUAUAUGGGAUGAUUAUGAUGGCAUUCCUGGCUGUGAAGAAAAUACAUGUUUUUUUAUGCCUUGCAAUGCAUUCCUGACCAAAAAUCAAGAGUUGCAGCUGUUCAGUCCUUUCCAGCACAACUCAAUCUGGCCACCAAAUCUCCAGUGGCCCAAAAUACCAACAACCAAGCUUCCAUCUGCUCCUUUCUUUUUCUCUUGGACUUGA